AAGAGUUUGAUCCUGGCUCAGGAUUAACGCUGGCGGCGUGCUUAAUACAUGCAAGUCGAACGGAAAUCUUUUAGAUUUUAGUGGCGAACGGGUGAGUAACACGUAAGCAACCUGCCUUUAAGACGAGAAUAACAAUUGGAAACAGUUGCUAAGGCUGGAUAGGAAAUAAAAAGGCAUCUUUUUAUUUUUAAAAGACCUUUUUCGGAAGGUAUGCUUAAAGAGGGGCUUGCGUCACAUUAGUUAGUUGGUAGGGUAAAGGCCUACCAAGACGAUGAUGUGUAGCUGGACUGAGAGGUUGAACAGCCACAUUGGGACUGAGACACGGCCCAAACUCCUACGGGAGGCAGCAGUAGGGAAUUUUCGGCAAUGGAGGAAACUCUGACCGAGCAACGCCGCGUGAACGACGAAGUACUUCGGUAUGUAAAGUUCUUUUAUUGAAGAAGGAACAAUAGUGGAAAAACUAUCUUGACGUUAUUCAAUGAAUAAGCCCCGGCUAACUAUGUGCCAGCAGCCGCGGUAAUACAUAGGGGGCGAGCGUUAUCCGGAAUUAUUGGGCGUAAAGGGUGCGUAGGCGGUUUAAUAAGUCUCUAGUUUAAUUUCAACGCUUAACGUUGUCCUGCUAGAGAAACUGUUUAACUAGAGUGAGAUAGAGGUAAGCGGAAUUCCAUGUGUAGCGGNUAAAUGUGNUAAUAUAUGGA
rnacentral:rRNA from 1 species